CCAACGCGACCCCAGGUCAGGCGGGGCUACCCGCUGAGUUU
rnacentral:rRNA from 1 species